AGUGAACGCUGGCGGUAGGCCUAACACAUGCAAGUCGAACGGCAGCACAGGAGAGCCUGCUCUCUAGGUGGCGAGUGGCGGACGGGUGAGGAAUACAUCGGAAUCUGCCCAGUCGUGGGGGAUAACGUAGGGAAACUUACGCUAAUACCGCGUACGACCUUCGGGUGAAAGAGGGGGAUCGCAAGACCUCUCGCGAUUGGAUGAGCCGAUGUCGGAUUAGCUAGUUAGCGGGGUAAUGGCCCACCAAGGCGACGAUCCGUAGCUGGUCUGAGAGGAUGAUCAGCCACACUGGAACUGAGACACGGUCCAGACUCCUACGGGAGGCAGCAGUGGGGAAUAUUGGACAAUGGGCGCAAGCCUGAUCCAGCCAUACCGCGUGGGUGAAGAAGGCCUUCGGGUUGUAAAGCCCUUUUGUUGGGAAAGAAAUCUUUCAGGCUAAUACCCUGGGAGGAUGACGGUACCCAAAGAAUAAGCACCGGCUAACUUCGUG
rnacentral:rRNA from 1 species